rnacentral:rRNA from 1 species
UACGUAGGGGGCAAGCGUUGUCCGGAAUCAUUGGGCGGAAAGAGCGUGUAGGCGGCCCGAUAAGUCCGCCGUGAAAGUCCAGGGCUCAACCCUGGAAUGCCGGUGGAAACUGUCGGGCUGGAGUCCGGAAGAGGCGAGUGGAAUUCCUGGUGUAGCGGUGAAAUGCGCAGAUAUCAGGAGGAACACCAAUGGCGAAGGCAGCUCGCUGGGACGGUACUGACGCUGAGACGCGAAAGCGUGGGGAGCAAACAGG